AGCAGCCGCGGUAAUUCCAGCUCCAAUAGCGUAUAUUAAAGUUGUUGCAGUUAAAAAGCUCGUAGUUGAAUUUCGGGAUCAAUAUGUUGGUCGUGCCUUGGUACGUACUGGCAUUAUUGGUUCCUACCUUCUGAAGAACCUCGAUGUCAUUAAUUUGGUGUCUUGGGGAAUCAGGACUGUUACUUUGAAAAAAUUAGAGUGUUUAAAGCAGGCUCGCGCUUGAAUACAUUAGCAUGGAAUAAUGAAAUAGGACGUUUGAUUCUAUUUUGUUGGUUUCUAGGAUCGACGUAAUGAUUAAUAGGGAUAGUUGGGGGCAUUAGUAUUCAAUUGCCAGAGGUGAAAUUCUUGGAUUUAUUGAAGACUGACUACUGCGAAAGCAUUUGCCAAGGAUGUUUUCAUUAAUCAAGAACGAAAGUUAGGGGAUCGAAGACGAUCAGAUACCGUCGUAGU
rnacentral:rRNA from 1 species